rnacentral:misc_RNA from 1 species
GAUGCAUUGUUGAUGAUGACAUUCGUCCCAAUGGGAUGUGGUGUCAUGUCCCUUGUUUAUCCUASUUUUAAGCUUCUUGAGCUUAAAAUGCURGGAUUAUCGGUUAGUGACACGGCAUCGCUCCAUUGGUUGAUGAAUGUCAUCCAAUGCGGUGGUGGUGGUUUUGCUUUGUUCUCGCAUCGUUCGGUGCAUUCUGGGGUCAUUUUGGCUGUUAGCGGCUUGCUUGGCGUUUGAGCCUGGUGGGCGGCUAUAGGUUAUGUGUCUUCGGGGAUGUAUACUGUAAAGGUGCAUGAGUGGUGUUUGGUGUGUUACGGGUGGUUGGCUCUUUGCUUGCGCAACAACUUCCUCCCGGCAURCCUCUUCAGUCUUGUGUCAAUGCUUGUAUGGCAUUGAAUGCAUGAUGGGUUUCUUGUGUUGCAUACCUAUUGAUGGCAUCGUUUGAUGAAUUGGUUACCCUUUUCGUCGUGCGUCGCUCAUGCGAUGUGAGAUGAACCUUGAGGCAGCCCUUGUGAUCCACUAUUUUGAUGCAUACGCAUUGAUUUUGUGGCCCAUUGAGUGUUGCUUGGUCUCAUGGAUAUGGAACUUGGUGUGGGCAUGGAAUCUUAAUGGUUCCUUGUUUGCCCAAAUUUAGCUUUUUAAAACGAUCGUCUAUCG